UUGCUGGAGGUUGUUUGGGGGUUCGAUAACAUGAAAUCAUAUUUUGGCUUUAUUGACCAUAGGCUACACCUUUGUGUAGGUUGAGAGGUUGUGAGGAAUCCAAACUCACGACAUCCCUGCACUGGCGUCUUCUGCACGACCUGCCGUCUUUCAAACGCAACGGAGUGCUUUGUGACUGAAAAUGGCUUCACCCCCCACCUUUCAGUUUGGUGCUCAAAAGGACAUCAGGAGAUGUACACCACAGCAUUAGUCAUAUUCAGGAUUUGGGCCCAGUUACUCCUCACAUAAAGGAACACACACACACACACACACCCACACACUAGUGCACAUAUCCUACAGAGUGAUGAUGUGCUUUCAGAACUACCACCAGUAGCAUGUGUGGUUUUGGUGUUGCUGUUUUGCUGGUGUGUCUAUUCUGCUAUUAGUUCUCAGAACCAUACACACCACAGGAGGAACAGGAGGGGUUAAACUCCAUCACACACACACAUCACA